UACGAAGGGGGCUAGCGUUGCUCGGAAUCACUGGGCGUAAAGCGCGCGCAGGCGGCUCGGAAAGUCGGGUGUGAAAACUCGGGGCUCAACCCCGGGCGUGCAUCCGAUACUGCCGGGCUUGAGGCAGGUAGGGGAGAUCGGAAUUCCUGGUGUAGCGGUGAAAUGCGCAGAUAUCAGGAGGAACACCGGUGGCGAAGGCGGAUCUCUGGGCCUGUCCUGACGCUGAGGCGCGAAAGCUAGGGGAGCGAACAGG
rnacentral:rRNA from 1 species